rnacentral:rRNA from 1 species
UCCUACGGGGCGCAGCAGUGGGGAAUAUUGCACAAUGGGGGGAACCCUGAUGCAGCGACGCCGCGUGAGCGAUGAAGUAUUUCGGUAUGUAAAGCUCUAUCAGCAGGGAAGAAAAUGACGGUACCUGACUAAGAAGCCCCGGCUAACUACGUGCCAGCAGCCGCGGUAAUACGUAGGGGGCAAGCGUUAUCCGGAUUUACUGGGUGUAAAGGGAGCGUAGACGGCUGUACAAGUCUGGAGUGAAAGGCAUGGGCUCAACCUGUGGACUGCUUUGGAAACUGUGCGGCUUGAGUGUCGGAGAGGCA